rnacentral:rRNA from 1 species
GCUGGCGGCAGGCCUAACACAUGCAAGUCGAACGGAGUUAUAUUGUAGCUUGCUAUGGUAUAACUUAGUGGCAGACGGGUGAGUAAUGUAUAGGAAUCUACCUAGUAGUACGGAAUAAUUGUUGGAAACGGCAACUAAUACCGUAUACGCCCUACGGGGGAAAAAUUUAUUGCUAUUAGAUGAGCCUAUAUUAGAUUAGCUAGUUGGUGGAGUAAUAGCCUACCAAGGCAAUGAUCUAUAGCUGAUCUGAGAGGAUGAUCAGCCACACUGGAACUGAGAUACGGUCCAGACUCCUACGGGAGGCAGCAGUGGGGAAUAUUGGACAAUGGGCGAAAGCCUGAUCCAGCCAUGCCGCAUGAGUGAAGAAGGCCUUUGGGUUGUAAAGCUCUUUUAGUGAGGAAGAUAAUGACGGUACUCACAGAAGAAGUCCUGGCUAACUCCGUGCCAGCAGCCGCGGUAAUACGGAGAGGGCUAGCGUUAUUCGGAAUUAUUGGGCGUAAAGGGCGCGUAGGCGGAUUAGUAAGUUAAAAGUGAGAUCCCAAGGCUCAACCUUGGAAUUGCUUUUAAAACUGCUAAUCUAGAGAUUGAAAGAGGAUAGAGGAAUUCCUAGUGUAGAGGUGAAAUUCGUAAAUAUUAGGAGGAACACCAGUGGCGAAGGCGUCUAUCUGGUUCAAAUCUGACGCUGAGGCGCGAAGGCGUGGGGAGCAAACAGGAUUAGAUACCCUGGUAGUCCACGCUGUAAACGAUGAAUGUUAAAUAUGGGAAGUUUUAUUUUCUGUAUUACAGCUAACGCGUUAAACAUUCCGCCUGGGGACUACGGUCGCAAGAUUAAAACUCAAAGGAAUUGACGG